CACGGAGUUAGCCGGUGCUUAUUCAUAUAAUACCGUCAUUAUCUUCUUAUAUAAAAGGAGUUUACGCACCGAAAUGUGUCAUCCUCCACGCGGCGUUGCUGCAUCAGGCUUUCGCCCUUUGUGCAAUAUUCCC
rnacentral:rRNA from 1 species